GACGGAGGGGGCUAGCGUUAUUCGGAAUUAUUGGGCGUAAAGGGUGCGUAGGUGGUUUGUUAAGUUGGAAGUGAAAGCCUGGGGCUCAACCCCAGAAUUGCUUUCAAAACUGAUAAGCUAGAGUGUGAUAGAGGGUGAUGGAAUUCCUAGUGUAGAGGUGAAAUUCUUAGAUAUUAGGAGGAACACCAAUGGCGAAAGCAGUCACCUGGGUCAAUACUGACACUGAGGCACGAAAGCGUGGGGAGCAAACAGG
rnacentral:misc_RNA from 1 species